rnacentral:misc_RNA from 1 species
AAAUGCGAUAAGUAGUGUGAAUUGCAGAAUUCAGUGAAUCAUCGAAUCUUUGAACGCACAUUGCGCCCCUUGGUAUUCUAUGGGGCAUGCCUGUUCGAGCGUCAUCUACACCCUCAAGCUCUGCUUGGUGUUGGGCGUCUUUGUCCCGCCUCCGCGCGCGGACUCGCCCCAAAUUCAUUGGCAGCGGUCCUUGCCUCCUCUCGCGCAGCACAUUGCGCUUCUCGAGGUGUUGCGGCCCGCGUCCAGAAAGCAAUCGUUACCGUCUUUGACCUCGGAUCAGGUAGGGAUACCCGCUGAACUUAAGC